rnacentral:rRNA from 1 species
AGGACGAACGCUGGCGGCGUGCUUAACACAUGCAAGUCGAGCGGUAAGGCCCUUUCGGGGGUACACGAGCGGCGAACGGGUGAGUAACACGUGAGCAAUUUGCCCUUCACUUCGGGAUAAGCCUCGGAAACGGGGUCUAAUACCGGAUAUGACCGCGCUACGCAUGUGGUGUGGUGGAAAGUUCUGGCGGUGGAGGAUGAGCUCGCGGCCUAUCAGCUUGUUGGUGGGGUAAUGGCCUACCAAGGCUUCGACGGGUAGCCGGCCUGAGAGGGUGACCGGCCACACUGGGACUGAGACACGGCCCAGACUCCUACGGGAGGCCGAGCAGUGGGGAAUAGUUGGACAAGUGGGCGAAAGCCUGAUCCAGCAACGCCGCGGUGAGGGAUCGGCGGUCCGUUCGGGUUACGUAAACCGUUCUUUACAGGUCGCCGACGAAGCGAAGAGUGAACGGUGCG